rnacentral:rRNA from 1 species
UGGGGAAUAUUGCACAAUGGGGGGAACCCUGAUGCAGCCAUGCCGCGUGAAUGAAGAAGGCCUUCGGGUUGUAAAGUUCUUUCGGUGAUGAGGAAGGUGUUUGUUUUAAUAGAACAAGCAAUUGACGUUAGUCACAGAAGAAGCACCGGCUAACUCCGUGCCAGCAGCCGCGGUAAUACGGAGGGUGCGAGCGUUAAUCGGAAUGACUGGGCGUAAAGGGCACGCAGGCGGUGACUUAAGUGAGAUGUGAAAGCCCCGAGCUUAACUUGGGAAUUGCAUUUCAUACUGGGUCGCUAGAGUAUUUUAGGGAGGGGUAGAAUUCCACGUGUAGCGGUGAAAUGCGUAGAGAUGUGGAGGAAUACCGAAGGCGAAGGCAGCCCCUUGGGAAUAUACUGACGCUCAUGUGCGAAAGCGUGGGGAGCAAACAGG